GAUGUACUAAUGCGCCUUGUGAAGACUCACUCCUGUGGCCUGUGGAGUUCGGCAUUGAAAGAGGGGGUGGGAGAGGAAAGGAAAGAGAAGGGGAAAGGACUCAUUUGGAAGCAGUGCAUUUUUAUCAGAGGUACUGAAAAGCCUUUCGAGAAUCAGUCAAGAAAAAGGAAUGCGCAUGAGAGUCACGGUCAAAUCAUGUGAUUGUAGGGAAAGCCUAGGCUAUCAUGGAGGGAAGAGAUUGGAUAAAUUAUUUGAAAAGUAAGCCUGUGAAUUGCUGUGGAGGAACAAUAGCCUGCCUCUUAUCUGGAGCCUUUCCAAGGAAAAGCAAAGGGGACCCUAGAAGGCCUCCUGGGAGACAGUUUAAUUCUGAAAACAAAGCAGUACUUCACCUCUUGUGUGUUGGGUAGAGCUGUAAAACAGAACACAGUCAAAAUAGUCAUUAGGGCCACAUCAAUGUCUGCCCAAAGUCAGGCGAGCAUUCCCAGGAGGCUGGGGGGCUAUGGCAGUUGCACACCGUCAACCUCCUUUCUCCAUUGUCACACAGCAGAAGAGCGUGUUCCAUUCCACUAAAGUUGCGGGCGGGGGUUGAAUAAUUUAUUG
rnacentral:lncRNA from 1 species